UGGUGUAGCUCAAUGGUAGAGCAGCUGAUUUGUAAUCAGCAGGUUGUAGGUUCAAAUCCUAUCACC
rnacentral:tRNA from 1 species